UACGUAGGGUGCGAGCGUUGUCCGGAAUUAUUGGGCGUAAAGAGCUUGUAGGCGGUUUGUCGCGUCUGCUGUGAAAAUCCGGGGCUCAACCCCGGACUUGCAGUGGGUACGGGCAGACUAGAGUGUGGUAGGGGAGACUGGAAUUCCUGGUGUAGCGGUGAAAUGCGCAGAUAUCAGGAGGAACACCAGCGGCGAAGGCGGCGCUCUGGGCUGGAACUGACGCUGAGGAGCGAAAGCGUGGGGAGCGAACAGG
rnacentral:rRNA from 1 species